UACGAAGGGGGCUAGCGUUGUUCGGAAUUACUGGGCGUAAAGCGCACGUAGGCGGACAUUUAAGUCAGGGGUGAAAUCCCAGAGCUCAACUCUGGAACUGCCUUUGAUACUGGGUGUCUUGAGUAUGGAAGAGGUGAGUGGAAUUCCGAGUGUAGAGGUGAAAUUCGUAGAUAUUCGCAAGAACACCAGUGGCGAAGGCGGCUCACUGGCCCGGUACUGACGCUGAGGUGCGAAAGCGUGGGGAGCAAACAGG
rnacentral:rRNA from 1 species